rnacentral:rRNA from 1 species
AGAGUUUGAUCCUGGCUCAGAUUGAACGCUGGCGGCAGGCCUAACACAUGCAAGUCGAGCGGUAGAGAGGAGCUUGCUUCUCUUGAGAGCGGCGGACGGGUGAGUAAUGCCUAGGAAUCUGCCUAGUGGUGGGGGAUAACGUUCGGAAACGGACGCUAAUACCGCAUACGUCCUACGGGAGAAAGCGGGGGACCUUCGGGCCUCGCGCCAUUAGAUGAGCCUAGGUCGGAUUAGCUAGUUGGUGAGGUAACGGCUCACCAAGGCGACGAUCCGUAACUGGUCUGAGAGGAUGAUCAGUCACACUGGAACUGAGACACGGUCCAGACUCCUACGGGAGGCAGCAGUGGGGAAUAUUGGACAAUGGGCGCAAGCCUGAUCCAGCCAUGCCGCGUGUGUGAAGAAGGUCUUCGGAUUGUAAAGCACUUUAAGUUGGGAGGAAGGGCAGUAAGCGAAUACCUUGCUGUUUUGACGUUACCGACAGAAUAAGCACCGGCUAACUCUGUGCCAGCAGCCGCGGUAAUACAGAGGGUGCAAGCGUUAAUCGGAAUUACUGGGCGUAAAGCGCGCGUAGGUGGUUGGUUAAGUUGGAUGUGAAAGCCCCGGGCUCAACCUGGGAACUGCAUCCAAAACUGGCCGACUAGAGUACAGUAGAGGGUGGUGGAAUUUCCUGUGUAGCGGUGAAAUGCGUAGAUAUAGGAAGGAACACCAGUGGCGAAGGCGACCACCUGGACUGAUACUGACACUGAGGUGCGAAAGCGUGGGGAGCAAACAGGAUUAGAUACCCUGGUAGUCCACGCCGUAAACGAUGUCAACUAGCCGUUGGGAGUCUUGAACUCUUAGUGGCGCAGCUAACGCAUUAAGUUGACCGCCUGGGGAGUACGGCCGCAAGGUUAAAACUCAAAGGAAUUGACGG